rnacentral:tRNA from 1 species
UCCGAUAUGGUGUAAUGGUUAACAUCGCCGUCUCUCAUUGAGAGUUCCACGGCAGCUCGGGGUUCGAUUCCCCGUAUCGGAA